UUUCUUCAUUGAUCCUUGGCCAAAUCGCUUUGGUUAUCGUGCAGUCACUUCUAUAUCGUGAUUUUUGUGUCAAUAACAUCUUUAACAAUUUCAUCGGUACUAACAUUGUGUCUUCGCCAUUUUUAGCAAGCUUAUCUAUCAUAGUGUCCAGGUUGUCUGAAUAGACUGUUGUAUUUCUCUAUUGCAACUAAUCGACGUGUUGUUAUAUUGGAUAAACUAACCAAAUAACAAAUCAAAAUCAGAGCAGUAUCGAUUCUUCGAUUAUAAACAUGUUGUGCUUCGAGAAGUCAUAUAAUUACUAAAUAAAACACGGCCAUGUAUCCAUUAAUCUUUGAGUUGCAAUAUCUAAGAAAACUCCAAGUCGUACAGCUUCACUAGCUUCAAUAGAGUCCUGAUGUAGGACCUUCCAAGGUAAGAAAGAGAAUAUGUUAAUCAAUCAAAUAGGAACUAACAAAGAUACCAAAAUGGAGAAAUGAGGCAAACAUGUCCGUUAAUUUUAUUCUAUUUGGUUAUUAACUCAAUUCUAUAAGUCGCGUUCAAUUCUAAUUAUAUUAUCAAUUAACUAUAUAAAAUGCCUAAGGCAAAAUAAAAAAAUUGUCUUAUAACAUCAUAAAAUGUAUUUUUUUUUUAUUUAGUUGUGGGUUUUUACGAAUGAGAUCAUGUUUAAUCCCAAUAAUUAUAGAUAUUAUGUAAUCUUCUAAUGUUGGAAUUCAAGAUUGAGCAACAAAAAGGACAUUAAAAUCCUUUUGAGAAUGCAGAAGAACUUAUUGGAGGUGAAAACGAGAUACAUCCACCAUUGACCAAAAAAUUUGACGUAUUUUGAACUCGUUCAAAAUAGUUUGUUCCAUUAACAGAAUCAUACCUACAUUGAUAGAAACAAACUAUGUAUUAUCAUGAACGAGUUCAGAAUACCAGGAAUAUUGAUACGACAUGAAAUUAACAAUAACUAUGUUUCUGAAUCAGUUUAGGGGCCGAUCGCAGGCGCACGUUUAAAAGUUCGCCGACUAAUUAAUUUAAGAUGAAACUGAAUGAAAUGAAACAGAUAUUAUACCUGAAAACUCAACAGUAACAUACUGAAAUAAUACAGAAGACAAUCUGAGCUUUUGGGGUAAUGAUUACGCAGUCCUAAAGGUUUAGAAAGGUGGAAGCAGUAAGAGGUACGGUUUUAGUGGAUAGGGUGUCCUCAGGAACGAUGCGGUAGUCCCACACAUUGCACAUAAAAAGUAUUUCCACACCUCUCAAAAAAAAAAGAAUCAAUUUCAGAAAACUGGGAAUCUUAAGCUGGGUGAUGGUCUAGAACUCAUAAGAUAAAGUGCUGAUGUGCAAACAAAGUAAAAAUAGUUGAAUUCAAUUGUUAAGGGCAUGAGCCAAUUGAAAAAACUUGGAACAGAUGGCAGGCAAUUGUUCUUCUAAAAAUAAGCAAUUGGAAAAAUUUAGGGAGGUCGAGGUUCGCACAGAAGAAGAGGGAGAAGAUAUAAAUGAUUUUAUCCAUUUUUAGUGCAUGUAAGCUUCAAAUCUAGCAAAAAAACUGUUUACUUUUCGUUUAACAACCAACCAAACAUUAGUUAGGUAAGUUGAAUGGAACCCUUGUGAAAAACUAACUAAUAUAGUUGAAAAAGUAACCCUCAUAUCGAUUAGUCAUUUUUUACUACCUUUUAAUUACUUUAUUCUAAAUUCUGGAUAUACAGAAAAGUGUAUUGUCUAACUACGUCCAAGAUUCAAGUAUUAAAUUAGCAAUAUUUUCAUUUAUUACAAUGUAACUAAAUAAUAAUAUAAAUAAACAUAUCUUUUCUUGAUGA